ensembl:misc_RNA Y_RNA Y RNA
AGCUGGUCCGAGUGCGGUGGUGUUACUACUAAUUAACCACAACCAGUUAAAGAUUUCUUUGUUCCUUCUCCACUCCCUCUGCUUUACUUACUUACAGAA